AUUUCAUGAUCGCUGAGUUCCUGCAACCCGCAGGAAACGGGGGAACCAUCGAGUGCGUCUUCGCAAGAAGCGCGCUCAGGGGUGAAUCCGGAAGCAGGCCGCGGAAACACGCAGCUUCACAAGCUUCUGGUAGGGCGACUCUCACGCCCGAAUCCGACAGCUAACCUCGUAAGCGUCCCGAGAGAGGCAAC
rnacentral:sRNA from 1 species